GUUUGUUUGCUGUUUUGCAUCCAGAGUUUGUCAAAUUUCAAUUUCAUUCAUUCAUUUUCAAAUUUAGUUUGAUGUUAGAUACCAAUAACAACUCAAGCUGAUUCAAUUUUGGUCAAAAUCUGGUUAAAGUCGAGUCACGUGGGACUGCCGAGGAAGAUGGCCGCACAUUGGAGGCGUUCCUAAAGCCUGUUAAUUAAUGUUCUGAAUUUGGAAACGUACACUUCAGCUGUAGUCAUAAAGUGGACGCCCCCUGCCGACUUUGAAGUUUUUUUUUUGAAGAAUUACCGCCUUUGAAAAAUGACAGGUAAUAACAAAGCAAACUUUUUCAAGGGAGCUACCACGAGGAAGAAGCAAGCUAGCAUUAGCCUCGUUCCGGAGCUGCCCGAAAACACACCUGCGUCUGAUGCCGCCUCUCCAGCAGCAGCGGAGGAAGCCAUUUCCUGGAAGUCAUGUCCAGCGCUGCUGACGAGAUCUCUGAGGCGAAAGAUGGGGCAUGAAUAAAGCUGGAUGUAUUGAUCUUCUAUGGCCACUUUUGGACACUCUGCAUCGAUUUUCCAGCAUUUUAGAGCUCUGCCCUGUAGAAACAUUCACACUCACAAUGACCCGGUCAAAGCUCUUUGUUGCUAAGAAUAACAGGCUGACUUGUGACACUUUCGCUUAGUUAUGAUGGAAUAUGUGUCCUCCAAAUCAACCUGUUCUAUUCUGCUUCAGGGGAAGGAAACAACUCAAUAAAUGUUACUUUUUGCACAAAGAUGUUAACACAGUCGGUGCCACAGUUUUGCUAGAAAUAUGGCAGAAUCUAAGAUUUAUCUUCCUUUUUUAUAUGAUUAUAAAUGUUUACAUUUUUUUUUAAAAAGGUGAAAAGCUUGUUAAUGUGAUCUCAUACCAGUUUAACUUUGCCUUAACUUUGGUCCUCA